rnacentral:rRNA from 1 species
AACGUAGGGGGCGAGCGUUAUCCGGAAUUACUGGGCGUAAAGGGCUCGUAGGCGGCCAACUAAGUCAGACGUGAAAUCCCUCGGCUUAACCGGGGAACUGCGUCUGAUACUGGAUGGCUAGAGUUUGGGAGAGGGAUGCGGAAUUCCAGGUGUAGCGGUGAAAUGCGUAGAUAUCUGGAGGAACACCGGGGGCGAAGGCGGCAUCCUGGACCAACACUGACGCUGAGGAGCGAAAGCCAGGGGAGCAAACGGG